UACGGAGGGGGCUAGCGUUGUUCGGAAUUACUGGGCGUAAAGCGCACGUAGGCGGCUUUGUAAGUUAGAGGUGAAAGCCCAGGGCUCAACCCUGGAAUUGCCUUUAAGACUGCAUCGCUUGAACAUCGGAGAGGUAAGUGGAAUUCCGAGUGUAGAGGUGAAAUUCGUAGAUAUUCGGAGGAACACCAGUGGCGAAGGCGGCUCACUGGCUCGGUACUGACGCUGGAGGUGCGAAAGCGUGGGGAGCAAACAGG
rnacentral:rRNA from 1 species